GGUGUAUGCUGGGUAAUGGCACAGCUAGCGACCGGGUGACUUUAUUCACCCGCUUCGGCUGUUAUCAGUCCAUACAAUGGGCGUUAUUAGCAGAAAUCAGUCCCAUAGAUGUGGGCCAUCCACCUGCUAGAUUGUUCAGAAGGUUGUUAUCAUCCAUCCAGAUGGAGGAUCACUGACAGGAGCGUGGGAAGACUCCAGAAUCCACUCUGGCUGGAAUCCGGUGGAUACAGCAGUGUUACAGGUACAGUACGUGAUAUUAAGGGCAGGCGGUCAUCACUGGGGGAAGACAAGAAGCAGUCGUACUUCCAAGAGGGAGCUGCAGUGAGGACACAGCCUGGUCACUGAGGUCAGAGGAGGCGCUGAAAGGUUUCCCUAAUAGUUCCUGGUGAAUCAAAGCAGAACCAUAAAGGUUGCUGGACUGCAUGAUGGCCUUACCCCUGAGCAGUCAUCCUGUUAAAGGAGGAACCAGUUAGAAGCUGUUUUCAAAGUAGCUGAGCAGAUUUCAUCUCAACAGACAAAGCCGAUGGCAGAAGAUGUUUGGAGAAGAACUUCAGGCCGUGUACUGACAAGAUCAAAGCAGCUCAUGCUCCUUCUGCUUCCAUUUUGAUGG